AAAACUAAAGAGAACAAAAAAUUAGAUAAAGAAACAUCCCAUGAUAUUCAGCAUUGGUUAGGCAUAGGAUAGCAAUUUGUGAUAUUCCUUACGAAAGAGAAUUUUUUAUAUUCACUCAUGUAACAUUACAAUGCAGAGGAUGGUAUUUAUUAAUAACAUGAUGAAUCACACACCAACAUACACGGUUUCGGGAGGCAGAUUUAUUCAUACAAAACCACUACACAUAUCAACCAUCCAAA